rnacentral:rRNA from 1 species
AUACGGAGGAUGCGAGCGUUAUCCGGAUUUAUUGGGUUUAAAGGGAGCGUAGGUGGGAUAUUAAGUCAGCUGUGAAAGUUUGGGGCUCAACCUUAAAAUUGCAGUUGAUACUGGUUUCCUUGAGUACGGUACAGGUGGGCGGAAUUCGUGGUGUAGCGGUGAAAUGCUUAGAUAUCACGAAGAACUCCGAUCGCGAAGGCAGCUCACCGGGCCGGAACUGGCACUGAUGCUCGAAAGUGCGGGGAUCAAACAGGAUUAGAUACCCUGGUAGUCCGCACAGUAAACGAUGAAUACUCGCUGUUUGCGAUACACGGUAAGCGGCCAAGCGAAAGCGUUAAGUAUUCCACCUGGGGAGUACGCCGGCAACGGCGAAACUCAAAUGAAUUGACGGGG